CGUGAGGAACCUGCCUCAAAGAGGGGGACAACAGUUGGAAACGACUGCUAAUACCGCAUGACGCAUAGAGGUCGCAUGAUCUUUAUGCCAAAGAUUUAUCGCUUCAAGAUGGCCUCGCGUCUGAUUAGCUAGUUGGCGGGGUAACGGCCCACCAAGGCGACGAUGGGUAGCCGAGCUGAGAGGCUGAUCGGCCACACUGGAACUGAGACACGGUCCAG
rnacentral:rRNA from 1 species